rnacentral:rRNA from 1 species
ACUUAUCGCGUUAGCUGCGCCACUAAGAUCUCAAGGAUCCCAACGGCUAGUCGACAUCGUUUACGGCGUGGACUACCAGGGUAUCUAAUCCUGUUUGCUCCCCACGCUUUCGCACCUCAGUGUCAGUAUCAGUCCAGGUGGUCGCCUUCGCCACUGGUGUUCCUUCCUAUAUCUACGCAUUUCACCGCUACACAGGAAAUUCCACCACCCUCUACCGUACUCUAGCUCAGUAGUUUUGGAUGCAGUUCCCAGGUUGAGCCCGGGGAUUUCACAUCCAACUUGCUGAACCACCUACGCGCGCUUUACGCCCAGUAAUUCCGAUUAACGCUUGCACCCUUCGUAUUACCGCGGCUGCUGACACGAAGUUAGCCGGUGCUUAUUCUGUUGGUAACGUCAAAACAGCAAGGUAUUAACUUACUGCCCUUCCUCCCAACUUAAAGUGCUUUACAAUCCGAAGACCUUCUUCACACACGCGGCAUGGCUGGAUCAGGCUUUCGCCCAUUGUCCAAUAUUCCCCACUGCUGCCUCCCGUAGGAGUCUGGACCGUGUCUCAGUUCCAGUGUGACUGAUCAUCCUCCCAGACCAGUUACGGAUCGUCGCCUUGGUAGGCCUUUACCCCACCAACUAGCUAAUCCGACCUAGGCUCAUCUGAUAGCGUGAGGUCCGAAGAUCCCCCACUUUCUCCCUCAGGACGUAUGCGGUAUUAGCGCCCGUUUCCGGACGUUAUCCCCCACUACCAGGCAGAUUCCUAGGCAUUACUCACCCGUCCGCCGCUGAAUCCAGGAGCAAGCUCCCUUCAUCCGCUCGAC